UUGCGGGAUGUCCUCCUGUUCCGGGUCACCUUGUAAAAAGUUGCACGUCAUGCGCGUUUUGACGGCAGGGCGCCGGCGGGGCGUCUGAGCGAGGGGAGAGAACUUGCGUCCAGUACUGCGCUCGGAGCCAACCAGCCGGGCCCGCCACUCGCUUUCGGGGCCCUCCGCCAGGCGGAGGAGCCCCAACACCAGCGCGCAACGGGGCGCGUGAGGGGGGAAAUGACGCUCGGACAGGCAUGCCCGCCAGAAUACUGGCGGGCGCAAUGUGCGUUCAAAGAUUCGAUGGUUCGCUGAAUUCUGCAAUUCACAUUACGUAUCGCAUUUCGCUGCGUUCUUCAUCGAUGCCAGAGCCAAGAGAUCCGUUGUUGAAAGUUUUGAUUAUUUGUUUUUAAUCCUCAGACUGUUUCUAGUGGUUGAGAUAUAAAGGUUCGUAGGGCCCGCCGCCCCCGGCGGGCGGGGCGGCGGGCCCUACGAACCUUUAUAUCUCAACCACUAGAAACAGUCUGAGGAUUAAAAACAAAUAAUCAAAACUUUCAACAUCGGAUCUCUUGGCUCUGGCAUCGAUGAAGACCGCAGCGAAAUGCGAUACGUAUUGUGAAUUGCAGAAUUCAGCGAACCAUCGAAUCUUUGAACGCACAUUGCGCCCGCCAGUAUUCUGGCGGGCAUGCCUGUCCGAGCGUCAUUUCCCCCCUCACCCGCCCCGUUGCGC
rnacentral:misc_RNA from 1 species